AGUGAACGCUGGCGGUAGGCCUAACACAUGCAAGUCGAACGGCAGCACAGUAAGAGCUUGCUCUUACGGGUGGCGAGUGGCGGACGGGUGAGGAAUACAUCGGAAUCUACUUUUUCGUGGGGGAUAACGUAGGGAAACUUACGCUAAUACCGCAUACGACCUACGGGUGAAAGCAGGGGAUCUUCGGACCUUGCGCGAUUGAAUGAGCCGAUGUCGGAUUAGCUAGUUGGCGGGGUAAAGGCCCACCAAGGCGACGAUCCGUAGCUGGUCUGAGAGGAUGAUCAGCCACACUGGAACGGAGACACGGUCCAGACUCCUACGGGAGGCAGCAGUGGGGAAUAUGGGACAAGGGGCGCAAGCCGGAUCCAGCCAUACCGCGUGGGUGAAGAAGGCCUUCGGGUUGUAAAGCCCUUUUGUUGGGAAAGAAAAGCAGCAGGUUAAUACCCCGCUGUUCUGACGGGACCCAAAGAAUAAGCACCGGCUAACGUCG
rnacentral:rRNA from 1 species